AUUGAACGCUGGCGGCAGGCCUAACACAUGCAAGUCGAGCGAGGGGCGGACGGGUGAGGAAUGUCUGGGAAACUGGCUGAGGGAGGGGGCUAACGGCUGGAAACGGUAGCUAAGAACGCGUACCAUCAAAUGUGCGCAGGAGGGGUUAGCUCGUGGGUGGGGGAACGGCUCACCGAGGCGACGAUCCCUAGCUGGUCUGAGAGGAUGACCAGACACAGUGGAACUGAGACACGGUCCAGACUCCUACGGGAGGCAGCAGUGGGUAAUUUUGAACAAGGGGCGAAAGACUGAUGCAGCCAUGCCGCGUGUGGGAAGAAGGCCUUCGGGUUGUAAAGCACUUUAAGUGGGGAGGCUUUACCAACAGAAUAAGCACCGGCUAACUUCGUGCCAGCAGCCGCGGUAAUUC
rnacentral:rRNA from 1 species